GUAUAAGCCUCUCUAAUCUCGUAUCGCCCCAGACGUAGCAUCUAUAAUUGGCGAAUGAAAACAUGCAGCUGCCCCCAGAGGAGGAUGACCAACCAGCUAAUCAGAAGCUACUCAUAUCGUCACCGCUAUGGAGGACCGAUACUGAGUCUGUGACAACCCUUCGUCGCCGCCGAGCAAAUAAUUGUAGAAGAUCAUAAUCAGCUAUCGUUAGAGAAUGUGCGCGUAUCGUACGCCGCCUCUAUCACAACGGCAUCUGCUUCUACAGUUUUUUUCGAGUGAUCGCUUUCCGUGCAGCAUUAGCUUCCUCAAAAACAACCUUCUCCAAAGGGGUGGGCGUUUUCCGUUGAUCUUGUUUUGCUCUGCUUUUAUCAAAACAUGUCGUUUCAGAUAAUCUUUGUUCUUAUUUCUGCUCUACGUCAUACAGUCGGAAUAAGGAGUGAAAGCGGCUCCUGGUGAGAUAGGAGGGGUACAAAACCCGCUAUUUUAGCGUCAUUUUUGCCCUGAUCCCUUCUCGCGAGCUUCUCUAGUUGGCUUCAAUUCUUACUAUCCCAUCGUCGAUACUCGUUUUCUGAGAAAAUUCUUAGGAUGUACCGCGUGGCCUAUCGUUGCCGCCGGAGAGACAUCGCUUAUCGAAUCACCUUAUGUGCGUCCAUGAAGCAACCAGAUAUGUCUGCAACAGCUGCUUCGAAAUCGUUCGAGACGAAAAUCAGCAGUGGCGAACCGUGUGGUGACCUAGCGGCUGCCAGCAGCAUUAGUAUGUAAAGACGCUCCGGAAGGAAGCUGUUGGCCGUCCAGGCGAACGCGCAUUGUGUUACCACUGGACAUACCAAUGCCAUGAAGCCAAAAAAAAAGUCCAUAAUUCACUGCGGGUGCCGCUUCCAACAUUACUAUCGCUAGCGAACACCGCACCGAGUAACGAAUCCUCAUUUUGUAGAACAUUAAAUCAUUUUAUCGGUGAAAUAGAGAACGGCAUCAGAUUCAGGCUGCAAUGAAGUGUUACGCUGAGUUAGCACUGAAAGAAAUGCUAGUUACUAGA